rnacentral:rRNA from 1 species
ACACAUGCAAGUCGAGCGGUAGCACAGGGGAGCUUGCUCCCUGGGUGACGAGCGGCGGACGGGUGAGUAAUGUCUGGGAAACUGCCUGAUGGAGGGGGAUAACUACUGGAAACGGUAGCUAAUACCGCAUAACGUCGCAAGACCAAAGAGGGGGACCUUCGGGCCUCUUGCCAUCAGAUGUGCCCAGAUGGGAUUAGCUAGUAGGUGGGGUAAUGGCUCACCUAGGCGACGAUCCCUAGCUGGUCUGAGAGGAUGACCAGCCACACUGGAACUGAGACACGGUCCAGACUCCUACGGGAGGCAGCAGUGGGGAAUAUUGCACAAUGGGCGCAAGCCUGAUGCAGCCAUGCCGCGUGUGUGAAGAAGGCCUUCGGGUUGUAAAGCACUUUCAGCGAGGAGGAAGGUGGUGAACUUAAUACGUUCAUCAAUUGACGUUACUCGCAGAAGAAGCACCGGCUAACUCCGUGCCAGCAGCCGCGGUAAUACGGAGGGUGCAAGCGUUAAUCGGAAUUACUGGGCGUAAAGCGCACGCAGGCGGUUUGUUAAGUCAGAUGUGAAAUCCCCGGGCUCAACCUGGGAACUGCAUUUGAAACUGGCAAGCUAGAGUCUCGUAGAGGGGGGUAGAAUUUCCAGGUGUAGCGGUGAAAUGCGUAGAGAUCUGGAGGAAUACCGGUGGGCGAAGGCGGCCUCCUGGACGAGACUGACGCUCAGGUGCGAAAGCGGUGGGGGGAGCAAACAGGAUUAGAUUACCCUGGUAGUCCACGCCUUGUAACGAUGUCGAUUUGGAAG